GGAUGCGAUCAUACCAACUCACAUGUACCAGAUCCUAUCUGAAUUCGGAAUUUAAGCAAGUUUCGACGAGUGUAGUACUAGGAUGGGUGACAUCCUGAGAAGUCCUCGUAUUGCAUACCCCCAGCUCUUUUCUUAUUUUUUUUUCAUACUUCUUUUUUGCGUAUUGUUAGCAGCUUAUUAUUUUUUCAUAACUCCUUUUUGCGUAUUUUUUGCAGCUUAUUUGUGGCACGCGUCGUUUAUUACCGAGUCUCGUGUUUGGGAGAUGAAAGAAAGGAAUGGGAAAGACUGUUAAUUCUAUUUUUUUGAGUUUCAAUGGAUCGUCUUGUUUUAAUAUUCCUCGGAAGAUGGAAGAAUGGGAUGAGAAAGACUAUUAAUUGUAUUUUUUAAACUUUGAGGGAUCUUCUUGAUUAAUAUUUCGAAUUUCGUUGAACGUUUAGAGCCGAUGUGAGGUUACAGGGUCAUGGCCAAAGAAAUGGCUAUAUACAAUUACAAGUCAUAGACCAACAGAUGCAAUCAUGCCAACUCACAUGCAUCGGAUCCUAUCUGAACUCCGAAGUUAAGUGAGUCUGGGCGAGUGUAGUACUAGGAUGGGUGACCUCCUGGGAAAUCCUCGUGUUGCAUCCCCCCACCUUUUUUCUUAUUUUUUUCAUAAUUCUUUUUUGCGUAUUUUUAGCGUCUUAUUAUUUUUUUCAUAAUUCCAUUUUGCGUAUUUUUAGCGGCUUAUUUGUGGUGCGCAUCGUUUAUUACCGAGUCUCGUACUUGGGAGAUGAAAGAACGGAAUGGAAAAGACUGUUAAUUCUAAUUUUUUUUGAGUUUCGAGGGAUCGUCUUGAUUAAUAUUCCUCGGGAGAUGAAAGAAAUGGAUGAGAAAGACUAUUAAUUGUAUUUUUUAAAUUUCAAGGGAUCGUCUUGAUUAAUAUUUUCAAAUUUUGUACGAACGUUUAGAGCCGUUGUGAUUUGCACAUGCACAGAGGUUACGGGGUCAUGACCAAAGAAAUGAUUAUAUACAAUUACAAGUCCUAGAUCAACGGAUGCGAUCAUUCCAACUUACAUGCACCGGAUCCCAUUUAAACUCCGAAGUGAAGCGAGUUUGGGCGAGUGUAGUACUAGGAUGAGUAACCUCCUGGUAAGUCCUCGUGUUGCAUCCCCCCACCUUUUUUUUUUUGAUAAUUCUUUUUUGCGUAUUUUUAGCGGCUUCUUAUUUUUUUAUAAUUCUUUUUUGCGUAUUUGUAGCGGCUUAUUUGUGCCGCACGUCGUUUAUUACUGAGUCUCGUGCUUGGGUAAUGAAAGAAAGGAAUGUGAAAGACUAUUAACUCUAUUUUUUUGAGUUUUGAGGGAUCAUCUUGAUUAAUAUUCCUUGGGAGAUGAAAGAAAUGGAUGUAAAAGACUAUUAAUUAUAUUUUUUAAAUUUCGAGGGAUUGUCUUAAUUAAUAUUUUCGAAUUUCGGGCAAACUUUUAGAGCCGAUGUGAUUUGCACAUGCAUAGAGGCGACGGGGUCAUGGCCAAAGGAAUGGUUAUAUACAACUACAAGUCAUAGACUAACUGCUGUGAUCAUACCAGCUAACAUUCAUCGGAUCCCAUCAGAUCUCUGAAGUUAAGCGAGUUUGGGUGAAAGAAUGGCUGACCUCCUAGGAAAUUGUCGUGUUGCAUCCUCCCAUCUCUUUUUUAUUUUUUCAUAAUUCUUUUUUGCUUAUUUUUAGUGGCUUACUUGUGGCCCGCGUCGUUUAUUACCGAGUCUCGUGCUUGAGAGAUGAAAAAAAGGAAUGCGAAAGUCUAUUAAUUCUAUUUUUUGAAGUUUCGAGUGAUUGUCUUGAUCAAUAUUCCUCGGAAAAUGAAAGAAAUGGAUGGGAAAGACUAUUAAUUAUAUUUUUUAAAUUUCGAGGGAUUGUCUUGAUUAAUAUUUUUGAAAUUCGUGCGAACGUUUAGAGCCGAUAUGAUUUGCACAUGCAUAGAGGUUACAAGAUCAUGGCCAAAGAAAUGGUUAUGCUCAACUACAAGUCAUAGACUAACGGAUGCGAUCAUACCAACUCACGUGCACCGGAUCCCAUAAGAACUCCAAAGUUAAGUGAGUUUGGGCGAGACCAGUACUAGGAUGGGAGGCCUCCUAGGAAGUCCUCGUGUUGCAUUCC
rnacentral:sRNA from 1 species